rfam:Tenericutes bacterium GWD2_38_27 gwd2_scaffold_2067, whole genome shotgun sequence.
CAACUAUCAAGAAGACGGGAGAGAUAUAGCUCGAUGAACGUCUACCAACCAGUACAAAAUACAAGGUGGUAAAGCUGUAAGCGAUGGGAUAUUAUUUCUUAUAUCUAUAGUUC